AUGGUGGGAUGCGGCAACGCACGAGGCUCGUGACGGGGAAAUGAUCGCUCCCGACGCACCCCUCCAUUGGAGACAACUUCGUGAGAUCCC
rfam:Langat virus strain TP21 polyprotein gene, complete cds